rnacentral:lncRNA from 1 species
ACUCUGUUAUAAUAAAUACUUUAUUUGUGUAUCAAAACAAAAUUAUAAAAUAUCACAAUACAUGGAUAACUAUCAUUUAAAUAUUGCACAAUAUAUUAUGUCAUCUGUUGUCUUAUCUUAUGCGUAGGUCUUGGCACGAACACAAACAGAACAUCCAUCUCGUGUGACACAUUCCUCGUUGAAGUUGCAGCCUCGUGAAAUGCAUGUAUUUUGACAGCCUUUAUGUAAAAUUGAACCAACUUGCGAGAUACGUCCAGGAAGACUACCUGACCGAAUAGAAUCACCUACUGGCGAGAUAUUUCUAACAAGACUACCUGAUCGAAUAGAAUCACCUACUGAUGAGAUACGUCCAAGAAGACUAUCUGACCGAAUAGAAUCACCUACUGGCAAGAUAUGUCUAACAAGACUACCUGAUCGAAUAGAAUCACCUACUGACGAGGUAUGUCUAACAAGACUAUCUGACCGAAUAGAAUCUACUAAGGCAUCAUUGAAUCUACUGUCUAAGGAACCACUACGAAUGAUUUGGCCUCCUGAUAAAAAAUCUGCACUACGCUGACAAAGACUUCUGCAACCUAGCCCACCUCGGUCCAUACAUCUCUGAACGCAUCCAGCUGAAAUAAUGUCUGAUCCGACAACUGCAUUUGAUAAGAUUACUCUUCUAGGUCUGCACAUACGAUCACAUCCUUCAGUUUGGCAUUUGUAUCCAUCUAGACAUUCUGAAUGACUAGAGCAUUCAAUUUCACAAGCUUUCCCGCCUUUGGGUGAAUAUACUGUAAUAAUAA